rnacentral:rRNA from 1 species
UACGGAAGGCAGCAGUGGGGAAUAUUGCACAAUGGGCGCAAGCCUGAUGCAGCCAUGCCGCGUGUAUGAAGAAGGCCUUCGGGUUGUAAAGUACUUUCAGUCGUGAGGAAGGUGUUAAGGUUAAUAACCUUAGCAAUUGACGUUAGCGACAGAAGAAGCACCGGCUAACUCCGUGCCAGCAGCCGCGGUAAUACGGAGGGUGCGAGCGUUAAUCGGAAUUACUGGGCGUAAAGGGCACGCAGGCGGUUAAUUAAGUUGGAUGUGAAAUCCCCGGGCUUAACCUGGGAAUGGCAUUCAAGACUGGUUAGCUAGAGUCUUGUAGAGGGGGUUAGAAUUCCAUGUGUAGCGGUGAAAUGCGUAGAGAUGUGGAGGAAUACCGGUGGCGAAGGCGGCCCCUGGACAAAGGACUGACGCUCAUGUGCGAAAGCGUGGGGAGCAAA